GACGAACGCUGGCGGCGUGCUUAACACAUGCAAGUCGAGCGAUGAAGCUUCUUCGGAAGCUGAUUAGCGGCGGACGGGUGAGUAACACGUGGGCAACCUGCCCUAUAGAGGGGAAUAGCCUUCCGAAAGGAAGAUUAAUACCCCAUAAGAUUGUAGUUUCACAUGGAGCAGCAAUUAAAGGAGUAAUCCGCUAUAGGAUGGGCCCGCGUCGCAUUAGCUAGUUGGUGAGGUAACGGCUCACCAAGGCGACGAUGCGUAGCCGACCUGAGAGGGUGAUCGGCCACAUUGGGACUGAGACACGGCCCAGACUCCUACGGGAGGCAGCAGUGGGGAAUAUUGCACAAUGGGGGAAACCCUGAUGCAGCAACGCCGCGUGAGUGAUGAAGGCCUUCGGGUUGUAAAGCUCUGUCUUUGGGGACGAUAAUGACGGUACCCAAGGAGGAAGCCACGGCUAACUACGUGCCAGCAGCCGCGGUAAU
rnacentral:rRNA from 1 species